rnacentral:rRNA from 1 species
UAGGGAAUCUUCCGCAAUGGGCGAAAGCCUGACGGAGCAACGCCGCGUGAGUGAUGAAGGUCUUCGGAUCGUAAAACUCUGUUAUUAGGGAAGAACAAAUGUGUAAGUAACUAUGCACGUCUUGAUGGUACCUAAUCAGAAAGCCACGGCUAACUACGUGCCAGCAGCCGCGGUAAUACGUAGGUGGCAAGCGUUAUCCGGAAUUAUUGGGCGUAAAGCGCGCGUAGGCGGUUUUUUAAGUCUGAUGUGAAAGCCCACGGCUCAACCGUGGAGGGUCAUUGGAAACUGGAAAACUUGAGUGCAGAAGAGGAAAGUGGAAUUCCAUGUGUAGCGGUGAAAUGCGGAGAGAUAUGGAGGAACACCAGUAGCGAAGGCGGCUUUCUGGUAUGUAACUGACGAUGAUGUGCGAAAGCGUGGGGAUCAAACAGG